GAAGUGCGAUAAGCAAUGCGAAUUGCAGAACCGUGAGUCAUCAGAUUUUUGAACGCAACUGGCGCUGGCUGGGUCUCCAGCCAGCAUGCUUGUUCCAGUGUCUUGUUUUCUCCUCACCCAAAACUUAAUGCGAGAGAUACCCUUCUCUUGUCAAACACGAAAGCACUCUUCUCCUGCGAGCGUCUCUUGAACUUGUUCAGGGGUCGCACUCAAUGCAGACGUCACAUUUCUCACAAUGUGAACUCAUUGAGAGCUGGAGCAGUCAGCUAACGCUGUCAGUGCUUAGCCACCUAAACUUUCUUUGCACCUGGAAUCAAGCAGGAUCACCCGCUGAACUUAA
rnacentral:misc_RNA from 1 species